GUGCCAGCCGCCGCGGUAAUACGUAGGGGGCAAGCGUUGUCCGGAUUUAUUGGGCGUAAAGAGCGUGUAGGCGGCCGCACAGGUCCGUUGUGAAAACUGGAGGCUUAACCUUCAGACGUCGAUGGAAACCGUGCGGCUAGAGUCCGGAAGAGGAGAAUGGAAUUCCUGGUGUAGCGGUGAAAUGCGCAGAUAUCAGGAAGAACACCCGUGGCUAAGGCGGUUCUCUAGUACGGUACUGACGCUGAGACGCGAAAGCGUGGGGAGCGAACAGGAUUAGAUACCCCCGUAGUCC
rnacentral:rRNA from 1 species